rnacentral:tRNA from 1 species
GGGGCGGUAACUCAAUCUGGUAGAGUGCCAGCUUUGCAAGCUGGAAGUUGGCGGUUCGAGUCCGCUCCGCUCCA